rnacentral:snRNA from 1 species
GCUCGCUUCGGCAGCACAUACUAAAAUUGGAACAAUACAGGGAAGAUUAGCAUGGUUUCUGUACAAGGAUGACAUGCAAAUUCAUGAAGCGUUCUGUAUUUUU